AUAGCAGAGGGUGAAAAUUACUAGAGACUCUGAUACACUGGUCCAACACUGUUGAGAGAAUAAGCACCAACUCACAAGUAGCGGCACAAGGGUCAACCCCACAACUAUGGCUCUCUCUCCCAGCCUGCACCGAUGGCCCCCUGUGGAGGUCCCUAAGAUCAGGUGACAGAAGAGAAAAAAACUUGGGCCUGGUUGACAGAUGGUUCUGCCUGGUAUUUUGGCAGCUCCCAAAGGACUGAAGAUAGCAGUGGUGGAAGAGAAGCAAUGUGAUGACAGGAGCAGAGACUAGAGUGAGGCAGCCCUGAGCCAAGGAAUACUGGCAGCUACCAGAAGCUGGAAGAAGCAAGGGCAGCGUCUUUCCCAGGGCCCCCAGAAAGAAACAGCUAUGCCAACGCCUUGAUUUCAGCCUCGUAAGACUCAUGUUGGGACUUCUGGCCUCCAGAACUGUAUGAAAAUAAGCAUCUGUUAUUUUAUCAAGUGAAGCUUGGUACUCUAACAUCUAGCACUUCUGUUUGCAGAUUUUCUUUGUCAUUUGUGAUCUCUUAGCCUGCUACCCUGGAUCUUAAGCUUUUGUUUGUUUUUUUUUAAUAAUUGUAGCAUACAGUUAAUGGUACAGAUUCUAGAAUCAGUCUAGGUAAAAAUAUACUUUCAACACUUUUUAGUUUGAUUUAGUUUAGUUUAAUCUUGACCAAAAGGCUUGAUUUCUUUAUGCCUCAGUUUUCUAAUCUGUAGAAUGGUUAUAAUAAUGAUACUCAGCCCAUAAGUUUGUUGUGAGGAAUAAAAGACUCUACACAAAGAAAUUACUUGAACCAGUGUUUGACUCACCAUAAGUACUCUGUAAGUGUUAACUCUUAGCACCUACAUUUCAAAAAACAAACAAAAAAACCCCAAUUCCUUUGCGAGCCCCCAUCGCACCAAAGCCAACCUAGUUCAAUUAACACCAGUUACCCUAUCUGACCAGAAUAUUAAAACAGAUAGAUGGAAGAAAACAUAAUUCUUUAUACUUUGAUUAUCAUGAAUUUAGUUAACAAUUUAUUUUUAACAUGCAAAGUCUGUAACCUUGGGUAUUUUCAAGGUCACUUUCUACCAUUAAUCCUUCAUAACAAAAAUGCACUGAUUAUCACAUAGGCAAUAACAUAGCAGUAGGGUUGCCCUGCUGCCAAGUCUGUGGAGCAGCAUUAAGAAGGACAAAACAAUGAGCUGUGGUGUUCACAGGGUGUGCAGCUAAAAAAGGUGGGCUGCUGAUGGGUUCACAAAAAGAUGAGGACACGUCAUUGUCUUAUUCAUACAUGGAGCCUUCUAUCCAGAUACUGUCAGCAUGAACAGAGCCCAUUGUUUCUCUUGCUCGGCGUGAUCUAUAUACAUAACACGUGAAGUAGCUCCUAUUUUCUUCAAAAACUGUCAAUUCAUCGGAAUUAGAGCCAUUGUUACUUUAAGUUAAAAAAAAAUCAAUUUGAACAUGUUUUCCUGCAUCACAAGCUUGAAUUAUUCAUUUUAUGUUUGGCUUCUUCAGAACUUCUCUUUGUGUAACUUUUAGAACAUGAGUUUAUAAAUGAAUAUUGAGAAAUGAAACCACAAAAGUGAAAAUAUUAACAGAUCAGUGUGUACAAGAACUGCCAGUUGCCUGUAAUCACAAGAAAGCUACAAAGAAAUGUGAAGUUAUUGUUGUUUUUCAUCUUAUUUUUAAAUUGCUUUGUAAACAAUAUGUAAAUGUGCUAAGAUUCCAUUAGAAAUGUUUUGCAGGGAGAAGGUAUUCCAAUGUGGAGGAUAUAGCCAGAAUUUAUCUCUUGAAAAUAUGAAUUUCAUACAGCUCAGGGGCCAUACUGUCACAGUUCACACCAAUUUUGCUCCCUUAGACAGGCUUAUUUCUGUCUGGAUUUGCUAGAAGGUAUGUCAGCACAACAAGAAAAAAAGAAAAGGAAAAGAAUGAAAAGCAAAGCAAAAGAAGGAAGCAGUUAUUUAUAAUCCCCAUUGUCUUCUCAGGAGAAUAGAUAUCAAUAAUGGGAGGUUCCAUUGUUUUCUGGGAGUGCAAUGGGUGAAAUGAUGCAAGAUUUUGGACAGCAGAGGUAGGAUUGCCAUAAGAAAUAAAGGCCUAGAAUUAUGAAACGAGAUCCAGUAGAAAUUUAAGAGACACAGGCUUUGAGCAGAUCAGAAAUGUCUAAUGGGGAUAUUUUUAAGUACUCGGCUAUGUGAUGUGAAAUGUAAACUAUCUUCUUCAUCUCCCUCCCCAAACUUCUAUAAAAUAUAAAACAAUUA